AGAUAGAGGGACCAGGUCUGGGCUCACAGGAAUUACAGCCAUGGUCCCCACCCUCUAGGAUUUGGUCGAUAAGGCGUCUGUGCACAUGAAAACAAGGAACCUGCCAAGGCAAAAGAUGCUCUUCCUCUUAUAGAGGACUCUAGUUAAACUGUGACAUCGUAAAAGCUACUCAAUAUGGGAUUUUUGAAUGAUGUAAAGAGUUAGUAGAAGUGAGAUAUGAUGUCAGGCAGUCGGACAAAGAAAUUGUGUCGCUUCUUCACUAGGCUGCUAUUAACAGGCUGGUACUUGUAAAGUUUUAUAUUUCAAGAGGUGCUGUUGUAGAUCAGUUGGGUGGAGAUUCCAAUUCCUCUCUUCUUCAUUGGACCAUCCAACAAGGACAUUCAUCUAUGGUCAUAUUAUUACUCCAGCAUGGUAUAGACUCUACUCUCAUUGAUGGAGAGGCAUUCAGCACCAACCACCUGGCAUUAUUAUUUCAACACAUAAAUAUUAUAGCAUAUCUCAUUUCAAAGGGGCAGAGUGUGAAUAUGACAGAUGUAAAUGGAUAGACACCACUCAUGUUAUCAGCUCACAAAGCAAUUGGGCCUGAACCAAAUGGAUUUCUUUUAAAGUUUAAUCCUUCUCUCACUGUGGUUGACAAGAAACACCAAAACACUUUACUGGGCAGUUGCAGCAGGAAAUGUUAAUGUAGUUGAUAAACUUUUAGAAGCCUGGAUAUCCGAAAAGCUAAGGAAGAGAGAGACACCCCUUGACAUGGCUCUACAAAACAAAAAUCAGCUCAUUAUUCACAUGCUAAAAACAGAAGCUAAAAUGACAGUCAAUCAGAAGUUUAGACUUUGUUGGUGGCUACAGAAAUGUGAGCUCUUCCUGCUGCUCCUGCUUUCUCUGAUUACCAUGUAGGCUGUUGGAUACAUACCGGAUUUCAGUUCAGAUUUGUGGCUUGUAAAAGGAUGUCUUCUGGUAACAUUGUUUUUUCUGACAUCUUUGUCUCCAAGGUUCUUGGCAGGGUAUAAGAACUUUGUAUACUUGCCAACAGUCUUUCUGCUAAGUUCCAUUUUUCGGAUAUUUAUGACUUGGUUCAUCUUAUUUUUUCCUGAUUUUAGCAGGAACCCCUUUCUAUUUUGCUUUCAUUUUCAGCAUAAUAGGCUUUUUUUACUUUUUCUACAACUGAUCCAGGCUUCACUAAGACUUGUGAAAAAGAAAGAAAAGUGAGUAUCUUUUGUAGAAACUGGCUGUCUGGACUUCAGAACAUUUUGUGCAUCAUGUCCUAUAAGGAAGCCAUAAAGAUCACUCCAUUGCUGUGUAUGCACCUCCUGUGUGGCUUGAUAUGAUCAUCACUGCCUGUGGACCAGAUGCUGCAUACGUUUUGGUAACCAUUGCUAUUACAUAUUAUUCUUGUUUUCCUUUCCAUAGUAUGUGACUAGAUUAUCUAUGGAUCAUUUGUCUAUUGGUCAAAUCAUUGUGCCACAACAUUCAAAGAAGAUGAACUGUGGUCUUACCCCAGUCAGACUGUAGCCUGUUCCCUUUGGGUUUUAUACAUCUUCAUGCUAGCAGCUUUCCAUUUCUUACGGUCAACGUUUUGGUUAUUAAAUCUGCUCUUUCAGAUCGCUUUUCUGGGCCGGACCGCCCAUGAGAGAAUCAGCCUGCUGAAGCAGAGCAGGCAUAUGACACAGCCAAGGUCCCUCAGGAAGACACUACACCUUGGAGUCAUGCAGAACCUGGCAGAUUUCUUCCAGGAUGGCUGUUUUGGCUUGGUGAAGCCCUCUGUAGUAGAUUGGACAUCUCCAUACACCAUAGUCUUCCACCCAGCCCAAGAGAAGGUUCUUCUCUCGGUAUGA